rnacentral:misc_RNA from 1 species
AGGAAUCGGAGGGAAAGAAGAGAAGGGGAAGAGCACUUGAUACGUAGCAGAAAAUCGAUGUUCAGACCUGCGAGACUCGUAAUGAAGCGAACGCCAUCGCGGCACCCCGGCAUCGCUGCUGUGGUUUAGUGCACAUACACACACAGUUCCACAGACACACAGAGCUUCACAUACACACACAGUUCCACACACACACAGUUCCACAGACACACACAGGGGGGUGAGGGUGGUAAGAAAAACUCUGUGCACGCGUGAGGGCGUGCGUGUGAAUGCGUUCGGUGAAAAAGCACGCGCUGGGCAGGCAGGAAGACGGAGACAUCGAGCAGUGAGGGAGGGAGUCUAGGUUUGGCAGCAUCCACACUGUCCGCAGCUACUGCAGCGCCCCCUGCUGUGAUGGACACAGCCACACCAAUAUUCCUUCCCAAGCUUACUUAACGUCAGUCAUCUGCAAGCGGUGGAAGAAUAUUCUGUCCUUGGCUUCAGAAGCCGUUUCCGCAGCUGCAGUCGAUGCUUUGCGGGAGGACGGGAUGGUUCAGGACGUCCCGUUUACCCACUGACCGGUGAGUUCAGGGUGAAACCUCUCGUGUGCCUCCAGCCCGCUGUGAGUGGCGUCCCUUUACUGAGUUCUGGAUGAAAGCGUCAGCAACUGUGGUCUUCGACUGUGGCAUCGCGAGGCUGGGCGUUCUGGCAGUCGGCAGCCAGCAGAGGCCGACAUGAAUUAUGCAAAAUAACAAUAAAGUCAAACACAACUCGACGUUGUCUCCAUUCCUGGGACGAUCUCGGAGAGGACAGACAACUCUGCACCAGCCAUCUUCAUGGUUGUCUUCGUUGAAAUCCUCUGAACCUCGCCGGGUGCAGCGGUCCCCCCCACAGCAGCUUGACAGUCCUCCCGCUAAGUAAAGCCACCUUGGUGGCGCUGCCCACGGACUGACUCUUCGCCGCAGUGCCACCGGAGUGCCAAACAAGUUUCGAUCCGUCUACAGCAGCGACCUGACCUACUUCCACUCCAGGAACCCGGACAUUGGCAGAUUGUCGAUCGAGACCCCUUAGAGAAGUGCCAGCCCCAAACGUCACCAUGACAACAGAGUAUGAGCCCGAGGAGAAGCCAGAGCAGGAACGGAGGGACAGCUAUGAUUUCCAGUUCACGGCCAAGAAGCUCAACUCCGACCAGCAGAAGCAGGAGCCGAUUUCAGUCAGUAAGUUCGCUUUUAGGAGGGACUUCAUCGACUCCUUGUUCACUGUCGUCAACAAGGAUCUCCUGUUCUGUAAACUCUUUUAUUUCUUCUUCUUCGGGGCCUUCGGCUCGCUCUUCCCUCUGCUGGCCAUCUACUUCAAGCAGCUGGGCAUGAACGCCUCCCAGAGCGGAGUCCUCAUCGGCUUCAGACCCUUCAUUGAGUUCCUCAGCGUGCCGUUCUGGACAGGACUGGCGGACCGCUGGAGACGGGGCAAGGAGAUGCUCCUGUUUGCCAUCUUGUCUUGGGUGGUCUUCACGCUGGCUAUCGCUUUUGUCCAGCCGCCGGCCCACAAGUGCCUGGUGUACAACGGCACUCACACCGUUCUCGAAAUUCCGUACUCCGUGCGCACGCGCCGCGACGUCACUUCCGUUCAUGUGAUGGACGAAGAGAUUGCCCGGGAUCUCGAGAAGAACGUUUUGCCAGAUGAGAGCGUGCUGGUUUCUCUGGGAUCUUCGGACCAUCUCUUCGUUUCUCCCCAACAUCUGGACAAGCCACUGUCGAUUCCAAAGACUCUUUCUCCAUCUACUUUUGAUGACAACGUGGACCACGCUCCAUCAAGGGUCAAACGAGCGCGAUACAACCUUGACCCCAGCAAGAUCGUCAAUGCCAACGCCUCUGACCUCGCUGGCCUCAUCACAUCCAAACACUCGACGGUGGUCUACAAGCAGGACGAGGUGCAAUACGACUUCUUCAUCCUCUUCCUGCUGGUGAUCGUCGGCGAGUUCUUCAGUGCCCCUGCCAUCACCUUCGCGGAUUGUGUGACUUUGUCUCUGUUGGGCGAGGACACGGAGAACUACGGCAAGCAGCGCAUGUUCGGCUCCCUGGGCUGGGGGUUGUCCAUGUUCUUUGUGGGUAUGGCCCUGGACCACGCCACCACAUUCCCCAAGCACCCGUGCGGCGAGCAGCACCCUGCAGAAAAAAACUACACCGUGUGUUUCGCCGUCUUCUCCGUCCUGAUGUCCUGCGCCUUCCUGACAGCCCUGCAGUUCCGCUACGACUUCCACGGCCCCGGCCGGGACAUCGCCCUGGCGGAACUGAAAGAAAGAGUCAAGGACAAGGUCAAGAAGACGAUCACAGGGAGAAAGAAGAUGGACCGGGAGAGGCUGGUGGAGGAAGACACGGAUGAUGACAUGGAAUACACGAGGCCAGGGGAAGGUUACGGAACAUACACGUCGGAGGAGGGAAACGUGACCAAAGAUGCAACAGCCGGCAACAACAAACUGGCCGCAGAGUCCGACAAGCAUCUGAGGAUCAAACCAGGCCUGAAGAACGACAUGGUCACCGACGCUCUGAAGUCUCCAGGUGCUCUGGCACAUCGAGGCGCCUACCACAACACCAGUGGUACUGCCGUGCCUCCGGGCCGCUACACCUCCGAGCCUUUCUUCGGCAAAUGGCUGGCCGUGGUGCGCCUGCUGUGGUCGUACCAGUACCUCUCAGUCCUCGGCAUCGCUUGGUUCAUGGGCUUCGGCAUCGGCAUCAUCUUCACCUUCCUCUUUUGGCACCUGCAGGACCUGGGUGGCUCGCCUACCCUCUUCGGCGUGGCCUCCGUCAUCAACCACGUGUCGGAACUGCUCGCCUACUUCAUGAGCAGCAGGCUGCUGACUACCUUCGGUCAUGUGAAGGUCCUGUAUGCAGGUCUCCUGGGCAAUGUGGCGAGGUUUUUGUACAUCUCCUGGCUCCGCGAUCCGUGGUGGGUCUUGCCCUUCGAAUUUGUACAAGGUCUGACGCACGCGGCCGUGUGGGCCAGCUGCUGUGCCUUCGUGACGCACGCCAUCCCGGGUGAACUCAAGUCAUCGGCGCAGGGUAUUCUGCAGGCCCUGCAUCAUGGACUGGGGCGUGGCUGUGGAGCCGUCUUUGGUGGUCUCCUUGUCUAUCGCUUUGGGAGUGAAAUCACCUUCCGUGUGUACGGCGUCACCUGCGUGGUGGUGCUGGCGGCCUACGUGGGCGCUAAUUACUUCCUGCAGCGGCGCGGCCUCUUUGAUCACGACUCCACCUUCUCUCACGAGCUCAUGGAGGACAACGGACCGCACCUGGCUCCUCACGGCGUCCCCUCCGGCAUGGGCCGUAACCUGUCCAGUUCCAAGCUAACGGAGGACUGGCAGACCCAACAGAAAGAUUACGGCUCCACCACCAACGAUCGAGACAGGGAUUACACGGCAGACCAGAGGGACCCUUGGGGUGGCGCAGGUGGCUACUCCAAUGAAGGCUAUGGAGGCUCUCAACAGAGAGGAAGUAAUGCAUUUCAACAGGAUUUUACUCCGUUUUCUGAGCCACGUGACCGCGUGUUCAUCGGGGAGGCGCCCAGAAUCAGCACCCAGCUCUACCAUCAGCAGCCAGACAACAGCUUUGACCAGGAGUACGGGCCGUAACCCUGCUGACUGCGGACUCGCCCACAGGUGGCGCUGCGCUGCACCGCGUCAUGGGAAGCAAGAUGGCGAGUGUCUUGUUCAAACUGCAGGUCAUAGUUUACCAGUCCGAAUGUGAUGUGAUAGCAUAUAGUCUACAGAUAUCUGUACCCACAUUCCCUGAAUCAUUUUAUGGGACCCUUGGUAUUGGGCCUUCUGGAAAAAAUUCUGACAUCAAGACCAGUCGGAGCAGUUUUUCUCUAAGGCGACUGUAGUUCAAGACCAAACUUUUAGCCUGUGGCGCGAAGAAGGGUUCGUCUUAAGGGAGGGAGGUAAGGAGCACACGAAAUGCUUGUGACCUAAGUGGCUUUGCUUUCAUCUGGGCUGACAGUUACCCUUCCCACCCCAGCCGGAUCGAAUCCACUCUUUCUUGCCAAGGGGUGAAAGUUCGGCCUUUAAGGGAAGUUGAGAUUUCCACGUGGGGGAAUGACACAAUAAACACACUCAUUUUUCUAUUCUCUGAUUGUCAACGAGCAUCUGAAGCAAACCAAUGCAAAGCUUUGUCCACGUGGUACCACAGGAUAGUUAUUGCCAGCCAAGCUCUUGAUGUAUGCUUGAAUAUGACAAAUAACUUAUAAAACCUCCAUCUUUAAGGUUUUGAGCCUGUAUAAAUUUGAAGGUUUGGUGUAUGUGAAUGCAUGCACGUGCACACAAUGUAUCCUGGGUAAUACAAUGCAGUAAUGCUGUUCAAUAGGCCUCAAGUAACACUGGAGUUGUGUGCAUCACUAGCGACCUGUUGUAGGUUUAGUAUAUAUACUGUUAAAGUGCUGUAGCUUUGCCUUUUGAACUCAGCAUUUAAUGGUUUGAAGGAGCAAUAAAAUGUCGCUUAAUGUUUAAAU